AAAAAUACCAGUUCUCUUAUUAUGAUCAUCGAUGUUAAGCAACGUCGAGCCUGGACAGUACCUAGAUGGGUGACCGCUUGGGAAUACCAGAUGUUGUAAG